AUGCUCCCUUUGGCAGCACAUGUACUAAAAUUGGAAUGACACAGAGAAGAUUAGCAUGGCCCCUACACAAGGAUGACACGCAAAUUCAUGAAGCAUUCUGUAUAUUU